GUAACGUGCGUUUAAUCCCUGUCCAAAGCAAACGUCCGUUUGGUUUUUUAAGGGAGACUAAACGCGCUCUCACUUUCAAUAGGUUUUCUUCCUCCACCAAAGCAAAACCACCAUUUAGACUUUCAAAAUCCUUAUGAGCCCUCUCUCUGACAAGGAAUAUAUGGAGUUUAUUCGGUCUGUGGUUUCUGUUUAAUCAAGAAGGUUAUGUUAUACGCAGUUGCUGCAAUCCACAAGACCCAGUCCAACGUCGCCUUCAUCAACAAAGCAGGUAAUAGAUCGAGUUGGAGCUUAAAGUUUUUCAACAAGCUUGAGAUUUGAAGUGAGAAUUGUAUGCUGUUUUAUUGUAUUUUAGUAUUUAUGAAAUUUCAGUGUUGUAUUUUGAGAUAGUUGUUACCUUUUAUGAAUUUUGGGUUGUAAUUUAUUUAAGAGAUGUUUUCGGGUAUUAAUUAUAGCUUAGAUAAUA